AAAUCAUGGGUCAGAGGACAUGGCAACCACUGUAUACUUAUGGAGAGCACUCCCCACAGGCAUGCAAGGCAUCUCCAUACGAUAUCAAAAGCAUCACAAUAGAGAUAAUUAAAAGUCAAAAUUCAAUCAACUACCAAAUCUAAUUGAUAAAUAAAAUUCAAAAUUCUGACAUCCAUUGAACCUCAAAUAAAGGAUCUAUAAAAUAUAAUAAUAAAUCAUAUCAAUUAUCAUGUCUCUGAUUCGAGAUUGUGAGCUAG
rnacentral:lncRNA from 1 species